CCUGAAUGAACUUUACAUUAUAAGUAGGAAUCUUCAAGAGAUCAUGAGGAAAGAAAUCUUAUGCAGAAGAUAUAGAAUGUGCUGACUCCUAUGCGGAAGAUAUAGAAUAUAAAGGCUCCGUGACCAGUUGAAAGGAAAAGGAAAAACCUGAAAUGAAACCCAGGUUUCUGGCUUGGAGAACUGAGUGAUUGACAGUGACCUUAACUGCAAUUGCCAAUAGAAGAGUUUUGAGCAUGCUGAAUAAGAAACGUCAUUGACCACUGGAAACAUAAGGGGAUCUUCCUGACCCAGAGAUCAAACUUGCGUGCCCUCCGUCUCCUGCCUUGCCAGUCGUAUUCUUACCACUGCACUGCACCACCGGGAAGUUUGGGGAAGUCACUGAAUCUUGCCAGCCUCAGUUUCCUCAUCUGCAAAUGGUGAUUAUGAUAUUCUGUAGUUGUAGGACUGCUGAGAGGAUGGCAUAUGCGGAACCCCCAUAGUCAUCGCUGUCAUAAAAGUGAUGCACAGGAAAUAUUAAAUCUUU
ensembl:lncRNA